rnacentral:rRNA from 1 species
UACGAAGGGGGCGAGCGUUGUUCGGAUUUACUGGGCGUAAAGGGCGCGCAGGCGGUCUUGAAAGUCAGGCGUGGAAGCCCCGGGCUUAACCUGGGAAUUGCGCUUGAUACUCUGAGACUGGAGUACGGGAGAGGAGAGUGGAAUUCCCAGUGUAGAGGUGAAAUUCGUAGAUAUUGGGAAGAACACCAGUGGCGAAGGCGGCUCUCUGGACCGUAACUGACGCUGAGGCGCGAAAGCGUGGGGAGCAAACAGG